GUAGUUAGCCGUGGCUUUCUGGUCAGGUACCGUCAAGGUGCGAUCAGUUACUAUCGCACUUGUUCUUCCCUGACAACAGAACUUUACGACCCGAAGGCCUUCUUCGUUCACGCGGCGUUGCUCCGUCAGACUUUCGUCCAUUGCGGAAGAUUCCCUACUGCUGCCUCCCGUAGGAGUCUGGACCGUGUCUCAGUUCCAGUGUGGCCGAUCAGCCUCUCAGCUCGGCUACCCAUCGCAGGCUUGGUGGGCUGUUAUCUCACCAACUACCUAAUGGGACGCGAACCCCUCCUUCAGCGGAUUGCUCCUUUGACCUCAUCCCGAUGCCGGGUCGUGGUCUUAUGCGGUAUUAGCACUUGUUUCCAGGUGUUAUCCCCCUCUGAAGGUCAGGUUGUUCACGCGUUACUCACCCGUUUCGCCACUAAAAUUUAUCUUCCAUCCGAAAACUUCUGAUAAAUCUCCGUUCGACUUGCAUGUGUUAGGCACGCCGCCAGCGUUGUCCUGAGCCAGAAUCGAACCCUGA
rnacentral:rRNA from 1 species